rnacentral:rRNA from 1 species
UGGGGAAUUUUGGACAAUGGGGGCAACCCUGAUCCAGCAAUGCCGCGUGAGUGAAGAAGGCCUUCGGGUUGUAAAGCUCUUUUGUCCGGGAAGAAAUCCCAUCUGUUAAUACCGGGUGGGGAUGACGGUACUGGAAGAAUAAGCACCGGCUAACUACGUGCCAGCAGCCGCGGUAAUACGUAGGGUGCAAGCGUUAAUCGGAAUUACUGGGCGUAAAGCGUGCGCAGGCGGUUGUGCAAGACCGAUGUGAAAUCCCCGGGCUUAACCUGGGAACUGCAUUGGUGACUGCACGGCUAGAGUGUGUCAGAGGGGGGUAGAAUUCCACGUGUAGCAGUGAAAUGCGUAGAGAUGUGGAGGAAUACCGAUGGCGAAGGCAGCCCCCUGGGAUAACACUGACGCUCAUGCACGAAAGCGUGGGGAGCAAACAGG